GGGGCCCCCAGCCCGCGCGCGUGAAGCAGCUAGCCGACCAAGCCCCGGAAGGCGAGUGCCGGAGGGGGCGGGACAGCUCCUCCGGGGCCAGCGGGCACCAGGCUUGGGGGCUGAGGCCCAGCGGCCCGAGACCAACUGGGCUGACCGAGGCCGCCUCCCCGCCAGCCCUGGGGUCCACUGCCCGGGGAGCAGCUCCCUUCCCAGGUCAGACUCGGGCUUCAUCCUCUCUUGCCGCGCGCCGAGCGGUUUUCAACUCUCACUGCUAGAAUUCCUCCAACCACCCAGGAUAGCAGGACCGAGAUACAUGGCCACCCAUGACCCGGAGCGUCCACUUCCAGGGACAGGCAGUGGUGAUUGGCUUCGGUUGUCAUCUGUGCCAUCUGUCCAUGGUUCGAGAAGCUGCUGUUCACGUUUUGGGGAGGAUCAUGGUUUGAGGGCUCCCGUGGUAGAAUUUGGGGAGCUCUCAUAGGCAGAAGGCUGAGAAAAGUUGGUGCUGUGGGAAGUCAACUGGCAGCCGAUGGAGUCGGGACCCGGGAGGAAUGGAAAGGGAACCCAGAUAGGAAGCUACUGCAGUAGGCUCAGAGAGGUGAUGACGGCAGGGCUAAGACAGCGGCCUUGGGCGGUGACUGGGAAGAACGUUGAACACCGUGUUUGGGCUGAAGAAAAGAGCAAGGGAAGAGGUGAGGAACUUCAGAAAGCCAUUGCAAGAACCAGUGGAAUUUAAAGAUGGAUCAAAUUCCUGGGGAGUUGGAUCACUGGAUGCAUAAGGAAAUCCAAACUAAUAAGGAAAAAGUGAAAUAUUCAUUCCUUAGUUAUUGUUAUCUAUAAUAGCUAAAAUUAAAGUAAGAGUGCUGGAUUAAGCCUUGAGGCUGGACCAAGCUCAGAUGUGGGUCUGAGUUUAGAUCACUAGCCUCAAAGCCACCCACAAAAGAGGUAGUUUCUGGUGCCUCUUAGACCUGUGGUUUCCAAGAAGGUAGUCAAGGUAGGGAAGGGCAAAACGAAGUAACUACUGAAGCCAAAUGGUGUGAUGUGAAGGAAGUGUUCCCUUUUGUAGACUGGUAUCAUCAGCUUCCUUGAGGCACCUUUCCUAAUAAUGGAUUGUGAGAAUAACUAA
ensembl:lncRNA LINC02175 long intergenic non-protein coding RNA 2175